GGAAAUGUAAUGACAAAGUGAAAGCUGCUAACUUAACACUACAGCGGUUAAAAUCCGUUAACAUUUCUA
rnacentral:tRNA from 1 species